rnacentral:rRNA from 1 species
CAAUAGCGUAUAUUAAAGUUGUUGCAGUUAAAAAGCUCGUAGUUGGAUUUGUGGCGUACGGUGUGUUCCGGGCACUUGUUGCCUGAGUAACCUGCUGUUGCCAUCCUUGGGUGGAACCUGUGUGGCAUUAGGUUGUCGUGCAGGGGAUGCCCAUCAUUUACUGUGAAAAAAUUAGAGUGUUCAAAGCAGGCUUAUGCCGUUGAAUAUAUUAGCAUGGAAUAAUGAGAUAGGACUUUUUUGCUAUUUUGUUGGUUUGCGCAAAGAGGUAAUGAUUAAUAGGGACAGUUGGGGGUAUUCGUAUUCCAUUGUCAGAGGUGAAAUUCUUGGAUUUUUGGAAGACGAACUACUGCGAAAGCAUUUACCAAGGAUGUUUUCAUUAA